AGAGUUUGAUCAUGGCUCAGGACUAACGCUGGCGGCAUGCAUCAUACAUGCAAGUCGAACGGAAAGUAGGGUAGCAAUACUCUGCUUUUAGUGGCGGACGGGUGAGUAACACGUAGGUAACCUACCCUCGUGACCGGGAUAACCUGCCGAAAGGCGGGCUAAUACCGGAUGUGACCACAGACCCGCAUGGGUUAGGGGUA
rnacentral:rRNA from 1 species